rnacentral:rRNA from 1 species
GACGAACGCUGGCGGCGUGCUUAACACAUGCAAGUCGAACGAUGAAGCCGGAGCUUGCUCUGGUGAAUUAGUGGCGAACGGGUGAGUAACACGUGAGUAACCUGCCCUUGACUCUGGGAUAACUGCUAGAAAUGGUAGCUAAUACCGGAUACGACCCUCGGAGGUAUCUUCAGGGGGUGGAAAGAAUUUCGGUCAAGGAUGGACUCGCGGCCUAUCAGCUAGUUGGUGAGGUAAUGGCUCACCAAGGCGACGACGGGUAGCCGGCCUGAGAGGGUGACCGGCCACACUGGGACUGAGACACGGCCCAGACUCCUACGGGAGGCAGCAGUGGGGAAUAUUGCACAAUGGGCGCGAGCCUGAUGCAGCAACGCCGCGUGAGGGAUGACGGCCUUCGGGUUGUAAACCUCUUUUAGUAGGGAAGAAGCGAAAGUGACGGUACCUGCAGAAAAAGCACCGGCUAACUACGUGCCAGCCGCCGCAGUAA